ensembl:lncRNA
GUGAACGAAUGACAGGUGGACAGAUCAUUAGUGUUUUAAGGGUGUAAUGAUGACUAUUACGCAGCAAUAGUGCUGGUAAACAUUGCUUUGAACAGGUGACAAUAGCAGAGGUGCUGAAGGUUUAGACUGGUGAUAGAUGAAUACAUCAGUAGAUGGAUGGAUGGACUAAUCAGAGGUGGUCUUUCACAGUAAUCUUAGAAAUAAUUGAAUUCAAAUCCUACAAACAGUAUUACAGAACAGUACAAUACAGUAUUAUAGCUGCUGCCUUGAGGAAAACUUCAGGUUUAAACUUGUUGGCUUCAGAUGUGAUAAGAAGGCUUGAAAUCCAAGCUGAAAACAUUUUUUGGAGGGGUGCUGGGAUUGAACUUGAACUGAAAAAAAUCAGUGUGUUGAUACAGGACAGACCUUUUGACAUAAGACGGUAAAUUAUAACAAGUGUAGUUAACAUGGAAUGGACAAGCUAACCACAACCAAGAUUGUGAAAGUAGAGGGGGGAUCUGGAAAAGGUGAGUGUGUAAAAAUAAUUCAUUAAUUUAGCACAACUUUUUCUUAUAAUUUAAAUUAAUUUGUCCCUUAACCUGAAUGAUUUUUAUUUUUUAAUUACAGAAAUCCAGAAACACAAAGAAACUGUAACAACCACAAGACUGACAUCUCUACCCCCAAGUAGGUUUAAAUGUCCUUUCUGAAUUAACUACACUACAUUAAAAACUAUUAGUGUUGUUCUCUAAUUUGAAAAACUGUGCAAUCUCCUUCCCUGCUGAAUGUUACUUGGUGUCUCCCCACUAGAGGGCAAGAGCAGCUCCGUGAGCAGUCAACAGGUUCUGACCUCCAUAGUGAACAGCUCAGGCUCUGGAGGAGCUUCAGGAGGAGCUGUUCUGGUGGAGAAGAUCAUCACCCAGAGCAGUGCUGAAGGAGGCGCUUCCAGAAGUUAUGUCAUAUCCUCCUCCUCGUCUGGAAGUUCAGGAGCAGUAUCUGUGAUUGGUGGAUUGGAAGAAAUAUCUCGUGAAAUCAGUGUAACUGGACCGAUCAGUAGCUCUACGGUUAAAAGCUCUAGCAGCGUCUCUACCUCUGCAACAGCUGGAGAUCUUUCCUGUGGAUACGGGUCCAUCUCCUCCUCUGAGUUUGCGUCUGGUUCCUCAGGGGGUUCUGUCAGUGUUUCUGGAGGCAGUAUGAACAUAUCCAGAGGUGGAGGAGGUGGCGCUGGCUCUUCUGCAGUCACGUCUGCCGCAGGAACUUCCAGCUCCAUGACUGUGACCAAGUUCAGCUCCUCGUCCCCCAGCGGGACACGGAAAGGUUUGAGUUACAGCACAGCUCCUGCAGAGAGGAAGACCAGUCUGAGCCUUCACAAUGGAGGAUACGAGGGGAGCUCCAGUGGCAAUUCUUCACCUGAAUACAUGAAGAAAGAAUAUGGUAGGUCCAUUUAUUAUUGA